rnacentral:rRNA from 1 species
CUACGGGGUGCAGCAGUCGAGGAAAUUUUACAAUGCUCGAAAGAGUGAUAGAAUGAGUCAGAGUGUUUCUCUUAGAGAAACUUUUAUCUGUUGUAAAAAGACAGAUGAAUAAGGACUGGGAAAGACCGGUGCCAGCCGCCGCGGUAAUACCGGCGGUCCAAGUUGCAUCCACAUUUAUUGGGUCUAAAACAUUCGUAGCUUGUUUUAUAAGUCUCUUGUGGAAUUCUAUAUCUUAGGUAUAGAGCGUGCAAGAGAUACUAUAUUACUAGAGACCGGAAGACGCAAAGAGUAUGAUUGAGGUAGCGGUAAAAUGUGUUAAUCUCAAUCAGACUAACAACAGCGAAGGCACUUUGCGAGUACGGAUCUGACAGUGAGGAAUGAAGGCUAGGGGCGCAAAGCGGAUUAGAUACCCUCGUAGUC